rnacentral:sRNA from 1 species
CAGACUUUUGGAAGAAACAGACAACCUGAUAACUUGGAGAAAGUUAGCGUUCUUCGAGAUAAAUUUGAGUACGACCGAGAGAGAAGAAUGAGAGAAAAAGCAUUUGCACCCAUGCAUAGAGGAUCUGUUCCUGACUCUCGUGAUUCUAACCGUUGGAACCAACCGCUAGAUACUGAUCGAUAUUUUAGCCAAAUAGAAAGGCGUUGAAAGAACAAUAUUGUAAGGGAUAGUGUAGUUUUUCUCCCACUAACUCAAUGCUAUAUAUGAUGCUGCCAAUAUAACUAGUUCCAGGAAGUGUUUACAGUCAGGAAAACGUUUUUUUUUGUAUAAAGCUCAUGUAGGA